rnacentral:rRNA from 1 species
UACGUAGGUGGCGAGCGUUGUCCGGAUUUACUGGGCGUAAAGGGAGCGUAGGCGGACUUUUAAGUGAGAUGUGAAAUACUCGGGCUCAACUUGAGUGCUGCAUUUCAAACUGGAAGUCUAGAGUGCAGGAGAGGAGAAUGGAAUUCCUAGUGUAGCGGUGAAAUGCGUAGAGAUUAGGAAGAACACCAGUAGCGAAGGCGAUUCUCUGGACUGUAACUGACGCUGAGGCUCGAAAGCGUGGGGAGCAAACAGG